rnacentral:lncRNA from 1 species
GAUCUUUUAGGUUCUCCCCCCGAAAAAUAUCUUCCGACUCUUCCGUCAGUUCUGGGAGUUCUUCUGCUUCGAACCCCCAGGCCCCUGUCUCUGCGGACGAACCCGCGUUCGGGGCAGGGCCUCGCCCGAUUUUCGCACCGGGCACCAUUCCAUGUUCGUCGACUCCGGACGAACUCCUUCUGAUAAGGGCUCGGUACGGGGUUCCUUCGGAGUACGACCUGAAGCUUCCUGGCCCCUCUGACCGGGCCAGCGCUCCCCCUCCUGGUCGCUUUUGUUUGUACCAGGAGGCAUUUCGCGCCGGACUCCGGCUUCCGCUUUCAGUCUUUGUUGCCGCCUUCUUUCGCUUCUUAGACAUUUCUCUCGCCUCUGUGGCCC